CAGUCGCCACGGUAAUACAGAGGGUGCGAGCGUUAAUCGGAUUUACUGGGCGUAAAGCGUGCGUAGGCGGCUUUUUAAGUCGGAUGUGAAAUCCCUGAGCUUAACUUAGGAAUUGCAUUCGAUACUGGGAAGCUAGAGUAUGGGAGAGGAUGGUAGAAUUCCAGGUGUAGCGGUGAAAUGCGUAGAGAUCUGGAGGAAUACCAAUGGCGAAGGCAGCCAUCUGGCCUAAUACUGACGCUGAGGUACGAAAGCAUGGGGAGCAAACAGGAUUAGAUACCCCUGUAGUCCCUGUCUCUUAUAC
rnacentral:rRNA from 1 species